rnacentral:rRNA from 1 species
CCCUUAGAUGUCCUGGGCCGCACGCGCGCUACACUGAGUGUCUGAGAUACGAGUCUGCCUGGUCCGGCAAGGUCUAGGUAAUCGCUAAAAGACACAUCAUGCUUGGGAUAGAUUAUUGCAAAUAUUAAUCUUGAACGAGGAAUUCCUAGUAAGCGCAAGUCAACAGCUUGCGUUGAUUACGUCCCUGCCCUUUGUACACACCGCCCGUCGCUCCUACCGAUUGGGUGUGCUGGUGAAAUGUUCGGAUCGGCCGUUUGUCGCGGUUUCCGCGUCAUGUGGCUGGGAAGUUCAUUAAACCCUCCCACCUAGAGGAAGGAGAAGUCGUAACA